GACGAACGCUGGCGGCGUGCUUAACACUUGCAAGUCGAACGGAAAGGCCCUGCUUUUGUGGGGUGCUCGAGUGGCGAACGGGUGAGUGACACGUGAGUAACCUGCCCUUGACUUUGGGAUAACUUCAGGAAACUGGGGCUAAUACCGGAUAGGAGCUCCUGCUGCAGGGUGGGGGUUGGAAAGUUUCGGCGGUUGGGGAUGGACUCGCGGCUUAUCAGCUUGUUGGUGGGGUAGUGGCUGACCAAGGCUUUGACGGGUAGCUGGCCUGAGAGGGUGACCGGCCACAUUGGGACUGAGAUACGGCCCAGACUCCUACGGGAGGCAGCAGUGGGGAAUAUUGCACAAUGGGCGGAAGCCUGAUGCAGCAACGCCGCGUGCGGGAUGACGGCCUUCGGGUUGUAAACCGCUUUCGCCUGUGACGAAGCGUGAGUGACGGUAAUGGGUAAAGAAGCACCGGCUAACUACGUGCCAGCCGCCGCCGUAACAC
rnacentral:rRNA from 1 species